rnacentral:rRNA from 1 species
AUUGAACGCUGGCGGCAGGCCUAACACAUGCAAGUCGAACGAGUGGCGGACGGGUGAGUAAUGUCUGGGCAACUGACUGAUGGAGGGGGAUAACUACUGGAAACGGUAGCUAAUACCGCAUACCAUCAGAUGUGCCCAGAGGGGGUUAGCUUGGUGGUGGGGUAACGGGUCAUCAGGGCGACGCUCCGUAGCUGGGCUGAGAGGAUGACCAGCCACACGGGAACUGAGACACGGUCCAGACUCCUACGGGAGGCAGCAGUGGGGAAUAUUGCACAAUGGGCGAAAGCCUGAUGCAGCCAUGCCGCGUGUGUGAAGAAGGUCUUCGGGUUGUAAAGUACUUUCGGCGGGGAAGCGUUACCCGCACAAGAAGCACCGGCUAACUCCGUGCCAGCAGCCGCGGUAAUAC